GAGGUUUCAAGUGUCAGAUUUUCUAAAAAUUGGAACUCAACUUCUGCAUACAAAAUGCAGCUAAUUAUAUCAGUGAGGUGAAGCUGUACCUAACUUCAUUUCUUGGUGCUGAGAUGGCUCCUAGCCUGCUAAUGAGGAUGUUAAACUCUUGGUUGAAGACAUUGGCGAGCUCAAACCAACAGUAUUCUGUGCUGUUCCACGUGUUCUGGACAGGAAUUAUGGAGCUGGGGCCUCUGAGCUGCACAGAGAAGGGCUUUUACCCGUUGAUCGAUCGAUCCUGGAAUGUACAUUAAGGACGGAAUAAUCUAAGCUUUGCCUUUGCACCAUCUCUCUAUGUGCACAAGCAAGACAAAGCUUUAGGAGAAGAUCAAGUUAGAACAACUCGUGCAGUGUUACCUUACAGAGGUGAUGUUUAUAUGUAUUCCCCCAUUAGUCGUCUUGGUUCAUGAUGGUUGGAUUGGCUGCUUGUUCAGACAGAGGUAAUGCUGAUAUUUCACACACAAAUAUAUGGUGGCCUUGGUAUGAGUUAUUCUAAUGAUUAAGCUCAUAUUGCCUCAAGCAUAGGAAUUUGUUGGUUUAAUCUACCACUUGAUACUCUUUGACUACUUUUUGAAUGGCAAAAUUCAGUGCCUUCAGAUAUGCCACUAUGAGUAUCUUAUUGGGUGCUCGAGCUGGAUUGUCCAUUGUUCUCCCUUAUUGGUUAAGCCAACCACGUACAAAUUGGCUCGUGUGCUGGCUCGAUCGAGCGAGCAAUCGGCUUAUUUGGUCUUCCGGCGUUGUAUCCCUUGAUGCUUCCAGGAAAUUGGAUACUCUGAUUUUUGAGUGAAUGAAUAGAGCCAAUCUUGACCUAAAAAAAAA